rnacentral:rRNA from 1 species
GACGAACGCUGGCGGCGUGCCUAAUACAUGCAAGUAGAACGCUGAAGGAGGAGCUUGCUCUUCUGGAUGAGUUGCGAACGGGUGAGUAACGCGUGGGUAACCUGCCUGGUAGCGGGGGAUAACUAUUGGAAACGAUAGCUAAUACCGCAUAACAGUAGAUGUUGCAUGACAUUUACUUAAAAGGUGCAAUUGCAUCACUACCAGAUGGACCUGCGUUGUAUUAGCUAGUUGGUGGGGUAACGGCUCACCAAGGCGACGAUACAUAGCCGACCUGAGAGGGUGAUCGGCCACACUGGGACUGAGACACGGCCCAGACUCCUACGGGAGGCAGCAGUAGGGAAUCUUCGGCAAUGGACGGAAGUCUGACCGAGCAACGCCGCGUGAGUGAAGAAGGUUUUCGGAUCGUAAAGCUCUGUUGUAAGAGAAGAACGAGUGUGAGAGUGGAAAGUUCACACUGUGACGGUAUCUUACCAGAAAGGGACGGCUAACUACGUG